rnacentral:lncRNA from 1 species
GGACCGUCCAUGGCUUUCUUCGGCCAGAGUAUGUAGGAGAGCCUGGACCAUCGCCGUCUUGCCCUCAUCAGCUCCUUUAGCAUGCCAUGUUUGGCUGGUACCAUGUUAAGAUCUGGCUCUGAACUCUGGAGCAGGGAUGUGAGUGUACUUUCUCGAGGCGUUGUGGACCGCAAUGCGUUGGUGACAUGGACCAUCAUGCAUCAGAGCAACAUCAUGGAAGCAUCAGAGACUGAAAUCUCCUUGCUACUGGUGGGGCACAGGGAUUUGGGUGAUCUUGGAAUAAUAUUUGGCUGAUUUUGUGCUUGGAAUUCAUGGAUAAAGAAGAUUUGGUUGCUUAUUUAU